GGCCGGGUGGCCUAGUGGUAAGGCGCCAGUUUUCGGGUAAACUCUAUCAGGGCUACUCUUUCAACCACUGGAGAUCGCGGGUUCGAAUCCCGUCUCGGUCG